UACGUAGGGUGCAAGCGUUUGUCCGGAAUUAUUGGGCGUAAAGGGCUCGUAGGCGGUCCGUCACGUCGGCUGUGAAAACCCGGGGGCUCAACCCCCGGGCCUGCAGUCGAUACGGGCGGACUAGAGUUCGGCAGGGGGAGACUGGAAUUCCUGGUGUAGCGGUGAAAUGCGCAGAUAUCAGGAGGAACACCGGUGGCGAAGGCGGGUCUCUGGGCAGUAACUGACGCUGAGGAGCGAAAGCGUGGGGAGCGAACAGG
rnacentral:rRNA from 1 species